AAAACUCUGGUCAGUUUUGUCGGGAUCUUGUGACACAGUUCCAGGACUCUAUUGACUAAGCCUCUUUCAGUUAGUACAAUGAUCAAGGAUCUCAUUUGAGUAUGGGUUUGCACAUCUGAGUGCUGGUGAUCUUCUUCGUGAAGAAGUUAAAGUGAUAUGGAGCAGAUUAAAAUUGACCAUGAGUUCGUACUAUUAAUUGAAGGCUCAAGGGAAGAGACAGCGGCAUAUUCUUCGUUGAAAUCAGGAAUGAAUUCCACUCGUUAUGCAAUACCACUAUGAGAAAAGUAGGGAAAUGCUGGACCUCUGCAAAAUGUGCUCGUUCACCUCGCGGUCUCACCCCCAAAACAGAGGAGAGGAGCAGGGAGCUCCUCUCUCACACUCGUCGGCUCCAAGGAGCUCCGCCGCCACAUAGGGCAAACCAAGGCUGCAACGUUUGAAUAUUAUACUUAUUCAGUUGCUCGACUACUUACAGUCCUAUUACUUGAGACUUAAUACUCGGUCAGCUGCCGUGUACAUUGUUCUGACAUAAAUGACACCAUGUCUAUGCGCAAGUCAGAAGGAACUUACCAUCUAAUAUGUCUAAUUAGUGUGGUACAUGCUUCAGUACUGCAAGUUGGAGUAGCAAGUAAGUAUACAUCAAAAGAAAGUACUGCUUCAGUACUACUCCCUCCGUUCCAAAAUAGAUGACUCGACUUUGAGUUAGUACAAAGUCGAGU